GGAUUAGAUACCCUGGUAGUCCACGCCGUAAACGAUGUGCACUAGUUUGGUGGAGAUCUGACUCUCUGCCAGACGCCGAGAAAUCAUUAAGUGCACCGCCUGGGGAGUACGGUCGCAAGGCUAAAACUCAAAGGAAUUGACGGGGGCUCACACAAGCGGUGGAGCAUGUUGCUUAAUUCGAAGCAACGCGAAGAACCUUACCUGGGCUUGACAUGUAUGGAUUAGCUCUUGGAAACAUGAGUGACGCCCUUUGGGUGGAACAUACACAGGUGCUGCAUGGCUGUCGUCAGCUCGUGCCG
rnacentral:rRNA from 1 species